UUAAACAAUUAAUUUUGAACGAUUUUUGAACACCGUUCUAAACAAACUGUAAACGAAAAGAAUGGAUACGAAGGCCAUGGUAUUAGCGGCAGCCUCCAUGUUAAUGGAAGAGUUUACAGAAGAGGGUUUGCAAGUGGUCGACCUCGUUGAAAGCCUACUGCAGACAACCAAGACCUGGGACCAAAGACUGGGUCCAGGUCAGGGGGCAGGACCCCUCAGAGACCUGGGACCGAAGACUGGGUCCAGGUCAGAGGGCAGGACCCCUCAGACACCUGGGACUGAAGACUGGGUCCAGGUCAGGGGUCAGGACCCCUUAGAGAGCUGGGACUGAAGACUGGGUCCAGGUCAGGGGCAGGACCCCUUAGAGACCUGGGACUGAAGACUGAGUCCAGGUCAGGACCCCUCAGAGACCUGGGACUGAAGACUGGGCCCAGGUCAGGACCCCCU
ensembl:lncRNA